CGAACGCUGGCGGCGUGCUUACCACAUGCAAGUCGAACGGUGAAGCUCCAGCUUGCUGGAGUGGAUCAGUGGCGAACGGGUGAGUAACACGUGAGCAACCUGCCCCUGACUCUGGAAUAAGCGCUGGAAACGGCGUCUAAUACUGGAUACGAGAAGGGUCCGCAUGGGCACUUUCUGGAAAGUUUUUCGGUUGGGGAUGGGCUCGCGGCCUAUCAGCUUGUUGGUGAGGUAAUGGCUCACCAAGGCGACGACGGGUAGCCGGCCUGAGAGGGCGACCGGCCACACUGGGACUGAGACACGGCCCAGACUCCUACGGGAGGCAGCAGUGGGGAAUAUUGCACAAUGGGCGAAAGCCUGAUGCAGCGACGCCGCGUGAGGGAUGACGGCCUUCGGGUUGUAAACCUCUUUCAGCAGGGAAGAAGCGAAAGUGACGGUACCUGCAGAAGAAGCACCGGCUAACUACGUG
rnacentral:rRNA from 1 species